rnacentral:rRNA from 1 species
UACAGAGGGGGCAAGCGUUGUUCGGAAUUACUGGGCGUAAAGGGCGCGUAGGCGGCCUUCUAAGUCGAACGUGAAAUCCCCGGGCUCAACCCGGGAACUGCGUCCGAUACUGGUUGGCUUGAAUCCGGGAGAGGGAUGCGGAAUUCCGGGUGUAGCGGUGGAAUGCGUAGAGAUCCGGAAGAACACCGGUGGCGAAGGCGGCCUGCUGGGCUAUGGCUGACACUGAGGCGCGACAGCGUGGGGAGCAAACAGG